rnacentral:rRNA from 1 species
AUUGAACGCUGGCGGCAGGCUUAACACAUGCAAGUCGAGCGGAGAUGAGGUGCUUGCACCUUAUCUUAGCGGCGGACGGGUGAGUAAUGCUUAGGAAUCUGCCUAUUAGUGGGGGACAACAUUCCGAAAGGAAUGCUAAUACCGCAUACGUCCUACGGGAGAAAGCAGGGGAUCUUCGGACCUUGCGCUAAUAGAUGAGCCUAAGUCGGAUUAGCUAGUUGGUGGGGUAAAGGCCUACCAAGGCGACGAUCUGUAGCGGGUCUGAGAGGAUGGUCCGCCACACUGGGACUGAGACACGGCCCAGACUCCUACGGUGGGUAGCAGUGGGGAAUAUUGGACAAUGGGGGGAACCCUGAUCCAGCCAUGCCGCGUGUGUGAAGAAGGCCUUAUGGUUGUAAAGCACUUUAAGCGAGGAGGAGGCUACUGAGACUAAUACUCUUGGAUAGUGGACGUUACUCGCAGAAUAAGCACCGGCUAACUCUGUGCCAGCCGCCGCCGUAA